AUACGGAGGAUGCAAGCGUUAUCCGGAUUUAUUGGGUUUAAAGGGUGCGUAGGCGGUUUGCUAAGCGGGAGGUGAAAUGCCGGCGCUCAACGUCGGAAGUGCCUCCCGAACUGGUGGACUUGAAUGACUCUGCCGUGGGAGGAAUGUGUAGUGUAGCGGUGAAAUGCUUAGAGAUUACACAGAACACCGAUUGCGAAGGCAUCUCACGAAGGGUUGAUUGACGCUGAGGCACGAAAGCGUGGGGAUCAAACAGGAUUAGAUACCCUGGUAGUCCACGCAGUAAACGAUGAUGGCUAACCGCUGGGCUUAUCAGUUCAGUGGCCAAGCGAAAGCGAUAAGCCAUCCACCUGGGGAGUACGACUGCAAGGUUGAAACUCAAAGGAAUUGGCGGGG
rnacentral:rRNA from 1 species